GACAGAGGGUGCAAACGUUGUUCGGAAUUACUGGGCGUAAAGCGCGUGUAGGCGGCUAUGCAAGUCGGAUGUGAAAGCCCUCGGCUCAACCGGGGAAGUGCACCCGAAACUGCAAAGCUAGAGUCUCGGAGAGGAUCGUGGAAUUCUCGGUGUAGAGGUGAAAUGCGUAGAUAUCUGGAGGAAUACCGGUGGCGAAGGCGGCAUCCUGGACCAUUACUGACACUGAACCGCGAAAGCUAGGGGAGCAAACGGG
rnacentral:rRNA from 1 species